AGAAAGAGAAACUCUCCCCCGAUCGCCCCACGCCAGAAAAUCAUGUAAAGGCUCAACCCACGAUUAGCGCACGGUUGGUCACCCCGCCACCCCCACCAUCUCACAUCCAACAACUGAUUCCCCCUAACAGCGCGCUUCGCCAUGCGAGGCCGUCGGAUCUCGUCCAAGGCGGAGGUGGCCCAAGGUCGCGCAUCCCAUGCGGAGGCCGGAUUUGGCUUCUCCACAGCAUCCACAACAGGGAGCCACCCAAACAUGGAUGUUGUACAAGCCUCCGCUCCCAGGGGCAUGGAGGAACACCACCCUGACACGAUCUCAUCCACGCUGGUGAGUUGGAUGAGGGCAUCUCCUCUGGGUGAAGAGCAGGUUGGCCUCGACCUGGAAGUGGAAGGCCACGGCGUCGGCGAGUGCGGCGUUCUCGUCCCGGGAGAGUCGAGGAUGGCGGCCCACGAGCAGUAUCGUGGUGCCCAGGAGGAGCGUGGCGGCGGCCGACGGUGGAGGACCGGUUACACGACCAAGCAGGGUCUCUACCCGCACCCGGACAUCGGCAUCCAGAAGAUGUGCUGCGUUGAGGCCAAUCUCGGCCUGCCAACCCGGCCUCCGACAGCCCUUGCUAUACCAGUCAGAGCGGGCCACUUUCUGUUGACUCAGAUGGCUGACAUUAACUCCACAAUCAGAAUACACAAAUCGGUGCAUCUAAAUUGAAUUUCUCCUCGCCGUGAAAGGACAUUAUAAGAUGCAAAGCUUCGUUGACCAUGCUGGUUCUGAGAGGGUGAAAAAGUCUGGCUCGGCAGGAGAAUAAUUGAAACAAACACAAAGCAUCAAUAACUCUGUUCCUGAACUUCAUGGUGUUAAUGGUGAUUUAUCUUCUGAACCUUACCAGAACCAUAAGUUACAAUGCUUAUGAGUGAUUCGCUUGGAGGUAAUGCACAAACUUUAAUGUUUGUGAAUGUCUCACGAGCAGAGUCAAACUUGGAGGAGACAUACAACUCACUCGUGUAUGGAAUUUCAUUGCUUUUAUUCACUCUUUGCAUUUGUCUACAUAACCAUAUCUCUCUACUCCACCCUGAUUUUUUUUUCUCGAAAAAGUUUUGAAUGAUUUUUGUUUGUACCAUCUCUACUAUAUUAAAUGGCUAGAGGUGGUAGGAUGGUUCGUACAUCCGUCCCACCCCGGCCAUUGCUGCAUGUUUUUUCAUCGGUGCAACGUUAGACCAUCCGGGAGAACCAGCGGCAAGGAACUGCCUCUUUGUUUCUCACCGAGAAAAGAUGCGCCAACACAUGCUCCUGUUGUUAUUUGCUUGCAUCUAUCCAGGCUGCAGUUGGCGGUGUAAAGGUUGCUUCUGGUCGUUUGGUUGAAUGCAAAUUUGUUACUCCAAACAGGUAAAUUGUUGGCAGGUAUCCUGCUUACUCGAGCACACACAAAAGCAGGGGAGAUGCGUACAUGCUUUAUAGUUUAGCUAUUGUCGGCAGGUACUGAUGAACUUAAUUUUCAUGAUAUUCUUUUUAUCCGCGAGUGCUUGAGGGGAGCAAGCUGAGCAACGCCAAUGUCACCAGCUCUCAACCGCAAACAACUGACGCUCACGGAUCGUCGACUGACCACUCUGUGGAAUCCAUGCUGCACAGCGCAAGUACCCUCAGCGCUAGCAUACUCCUCAUACCUACGCUUUCCUUCCCAUCAUAUCUGAGUCGCUUUUAAGAUGACCUUGGAGAUGAGGCUAUGACAACAGACAUUGAGGCGGACGACAUGGUCGAUCAUCAAAUUCAGAUGUACGAGGGUGGGAGUGGCUUACUAUUUUGAUGACCUUGGAGAUGAGGCUAUGACAACAGACAUUGAGGCGGACGACAUCUCUACUAUAUUAAAUGGCUAGAGGUGGUGAGAUGGUUGGUACGUCCGUCCCUACUCAAGACAAAAUUGGGAAAAAGAAAGAGAAACUCUCCCCCGAUCGCCCCACGCCAGAAAAUCAUGUAAAGGCUCAACCCACGAUUAGCGCACGGUUGGUCACCCCGCCACCCCCACCAUCUCACAUCCAACAACUGAUUCCCCCUAACAGCACGCUUCGCCAUGCGAGGCCGUCGGAUCUCGUCCAAGGCGGAGGUGGCCCAAGGUCGCGCAUCCCAUGAGGAGGCCGGAUUUGGCUUCUCCACAGCAUCCACAACAGGGAGCCACCCAAACAUGGAUGUUGUACAAGCCUCCGCUCCCAGGGGCAUGGAGGAACACCACCCUGACACGAUCUCAUCCACGCUGGUGAGUUGGAUGAGGGCAUCUCCUCUGGGUGAAGAGCAGGUUGGCCUCGACCUGGAAGUGGAAGGCCACGGCGUCGACGAGUGCGGCGUUCUCGUCCCGGGAGAGUCGAGGAUGGCGGCCCACGAGCAGUAUCGUGGUGCCCAGGAGGAGCGUGGCGGCGGCCGACGGUGGAGGACCGGUUACACGACCAAGCAGGGUCUCUACACGCACCCGGACAUCGGCAUCCAGAAGAUGUGCUGCGUUGAGGCCAAUCUCGGCCUGCCAACCCGGCCUCCGACAGCCCUUGCUAUACCAGUCAGAGCGGGCCACUUUCUGUUGACUCAGAUGGCUGACAUUAACUCCACAAUCAGAAUACACAAAUCGGUGCAUCUAAAUUGAAUUUCUCCUCGCCGUGAAAGGACAUUAUAAGAUGCAAAGCUUCGUUGACCAUGCUGGUUCUGAGAGGGUGAAAAAGUCUGGCUCGGCAGGAGAAUAAUUGAAACAAACACAAAGCAUCAAUAACUCUGUUCCUGAACUUCAUGGUGUUAAUGGUGAUUUAUCUUCUGAACCUUACCAGAACCAUAAGUUACAAUGCUUAUGAGUGAUUCGCUUGGAGGUAAUGCACAAACUUUAAUGUUUGUGAAUGUCUCACGAGCAGAGUCAAACUUGGAGGAGACAUACAACUCACUCGUGUAUGGAAUUUCAUUGCUUUUAUUCACUCUUUGCAUUUGUCUACAUAACCAUAUCUCUCUACUCCACCCUGAUUUUUUUUUCUCGAAAAAGUUUUGAAUGAUUUUUGUUUGUACCAUCUCUACUAUAUUAAAUGGCUAGAGGUGGUAGGAUGGUUCGUACAUCCGUCCCACCCCGGCCAUUGCUGCAUGUUUUUUCAUCGGUGCAACGUUAGACCAUCCGGGAGAACCAGCGGCAAGGAACUGCCUCUUUGUUUCUCACCGAGAAAAGAUGCGCCAACACAUGCUCCUGUUGUUAUUUGCUUGCAUCUAUCCAGGCUGCAGUUGGCGGUGUAAAGGUUGCUUCUGGUCGUUUGGUUGAAUGCAAAUUUGUUACUCCAAACAGGUACUUAUGAACUUAAUUUUCAUGAUAUUCUUUUUAUCCGCGAGUGCUUGAGGGGAGCAAGCUGAGCAACGCCAAUGUCACCAGCUCUCAACCGCAAACAACUGACGCUCACGGAUCGUCGACUGACCACUCUGUGGAAUCCAUGCUGCACAGCGCAAGUACCCUCAGCGCUAGCAUACUCCUCAUACCUACGCUUUCCUUCCCAUCAUAUCUGAGUCGCUUUUAAGAUGACCUUGGAGAUGAGGCUAUGACAACAGACAUUGAGGCGGACGACAUGGUCGAUCAUCAAGUUCAGAUGUACGAGGGUGGGAGUGGCUUACUAUUUUGAUGACCUUGGAGAUGAGGCUAUGACAACAGACAUUGAGGCGGACGACAUGGUCGAUCAUCAAGUUCAGAUGUACGAGGAUGACCUUGGAGAUGAGGCUAUGACAACAGACAUUGAGGCGGACGACAUGGUCGAUCAUCAAGUUCAGCUGUGCGAGGGAAACUGACGGUCCUCAUCUCAGCCUUAGAUUUCUUCAGGUCUUCCUCUCAUUAUACCGUGAAUGAUUACAUGUCCAAUGACUUGCAUUGUAGAUGACCUUGGAGAUGAGGCUAUGACAACAGACAUUGAGGCGGACGGCAUGGUCGAUCAUCAAGUUCAGAUAUGACCUUGGAGAUGAGGCUAUGACAAUAGACAUUGAGGCGGACGACAUGGUCGACCACAAUGGCAACGAGUUGAUCAGCUUGAGCCCUUAAGGAGCUUGACCAUGGAUGGCUUGAGCCACCUACAUGGUUAUCAUGUUUUGAGAAGCCAUGAAACAAGCAACGGCUGCACAAAAUGUUUAAGCUCAUCAUGCUAGAGGAUGUUGGUCAUGGAACUCUUCGGUGCUACAACGGCAACUCUCAGCUCGCUUUUGUCGUCAUGUCACACCUAAAAAACAAUGUUGGCAAGAACGAACAAAGAUGUGGAAACACAAUAUGUGUAGAGUCUACACUGCAUGAUACAUAAUGAAUCUCCUACUACUACUUUGGUAUGAAUAAUAAUGGUUAACAUGUAACCACUGCGUUGACGUAAGUGCUAAAUUUUCUCA